CCAGCUAAACACGGAGAACUUGUUUCAGAUGGCUGCAGAAGGUUCUUACCCAUUGGAUCAACCUUCCUAUCACCACAGAAAGGGUUCUUCUGGGGAUGUGGCCAACACUCCCCAAGGUGUGCCUUCUUCUAAGGAUGCUCAUCUUGUUCCUCAGAAUAAGGCACUACCUUCUCAAAGGGAAUUUCUGAGACUGUAGAAAAAGUUCUUCUUCUACCCAAACCUGCACUGAAUGAUGUAAAGUCUGUAUUACAAAAGCUACUUAGAGAAGCUUUGUUGACUUAUCCAGUUGGGAGGGAAGUAGUUUCUGGAGGAGUAAAAGCAGAAUUUCCUGAAGGCGUGCAGGUAGAAGGUAGCCCCUCAAAUUCUCUGGGAGUUAUCCCAUCACAGACUACGAUGGACAGCAUAGUUCCAGACAGAAAGGAUUUGUAUUCCUUCAGUGUAGUUCCUGAUAAAACUCAUAAAGUUGGAUCUUAUUUAGCUGCCCAAAUGCCUCCAUCAGAGCAAACCCUUAGCUCAUCUGCUUCUACUGUUGCUCAGGAUGGCAAAGAGUUAUCUCAGGAAGUGACAGAAACUGUGAGGGAAACAAUUAUUCAACCUAAAUCAGAGCUCCUUGAAUUCAGUGCUGUCUUAGAAAAACUACUGAAGGAAACAAUUGAAACCCCCUGCUCAAAAUAUGACAGUGAUACAGGGACCCUUUAUUCAUCAAAGUUAAUAGGUAGUACUGAGGUGCCCAGGCAGGCUGCUUCUGAAUUCCAUCCUAAGGAAAUAAAAGAAACAGUAGAAAAGCCUGAGGCUCCAUCAAUUACUGGGAGUGCUUUUGAGAUUGGCUUUGAGAAACUCCUUAAAGAAUCAUCUAACGGUCCUUCUUAUCAGCUCCAAGUGUCAGUGAAGGAAGAAACUCCUGAGAAGGAGCCUUCACAGUCAAAGCAGGCCAGGUUCUUGGGGAAAGUGCCCUCUUUUUACUGGACAGCCUCAAAGGCCUCGGAAAUGAAACUUAAGAGUAAUGUUUUCAAAUCUCAAGUCAGGCAACGUGAUAAAGUGUUGGGAAGAGACAAAGCUGGCUGAUUUACCAAUAGAUCUCUGUGGUUUUGAAAGUGGGGUUGAGAUCCCUGGAACCUCACAACUUUCUGUGGACCAUGAAAUAGGGACCACUGAAACUAUAAAACCCCCAGAGGACAGGAAUUAUGAAAGUGAGGUUGCAGUAGUUUGAGAAGGGGCUUUUCAGGAGCUUGGUUUCAAAGAGGCUCCUGAAGCAAUGAACGUGCCCAGAAAUAGGCAACCCAUUCCUCUCCUGACAGACAAAGAAAACUCUACAAAAAUAAGUAAAGUUGAAUUGAUUCUGGCAUCACCAUAUAAGAGACAAGAGAAAAAGGAAGAAAAGGAAGGUUUCUCUGACUUUGAUAUUUCAGAUGGAAACAUCAGUUCUAAGGCAGAAAGCUGCAGAAAUACCUCCAGCGAGCAUUUUGAAGUUUUUAACUGAUUGGUUAAUGAGUUGAUUUAUGUAAUGCUGACAUAAAGGAUGGUGUAGUUUUUAGAAUUGGGAUUAAUUUGACAAUCCCAAAUAGUACUAAAUUCUUCUUUGUACUUCAGUUCUCCCUAGAUUUUCUUAAUAAAAAACUACAUUUCCUUUUAUCUUCUUUAAUCAAAUGAGUUACAUAGAGAUAGCUUUACCCAUCAGGCAGUGUUUCAGAAUCUGACUUUAUUCUCACUGAUCAGUGAUAGAAUUUUUAGGUUUCAAAAAUAUUUUUUAAAGAACUUUUGGGGUUUAGAGAGUACCUCUAAAACAUCCAAGUGUGCUUUUCUCUUGGAGCUAAUUAGAAUUUCCUAAUUGGCAGUCCAUACAGGAGUCUCUAGUAAGAUUUGUGGCAAGAAACUCCCAUAUUGGUCACACAUUUCCCUUUUAAGAACAGUAGUUUACCACAUUAGUGGCUAAGUACCAGGAACAAAGUGCAAGGCUGGAAGUUUCCCUGAGAUACCUUGGGCUGUGGUGUUUCUGUUGCCACUCUCUCCCUCUUGUUUGCAAUUAUCUGCAGGAUCCUCCCCUUCUAGGGUAUGCCUCAGUCUGAUGACCUCACCUGAUUCCACCUAUAAGGGCAUUGCCUGGCCUGCUGCAUUUCUUUGGCUCCAGCCUUAGCUAAGUGGAUGGAGAUCUUAAUCAAUUACCAUAGUCACCUAAGUGGACUUGGGCUUCUGGUUUCAGCCAGGCUAUAAAAGAUAGGGCUUGUCUCAGUUUGCUAUUCUGAGCAACCUGGCUAUUUUGGGAGAGAAACCCAGGGACAAAUAGGGAUUAGAAGUUAGCUGAUUAGAAUGAUGAAAUGAUAAAGGAUGCUCUCUGGCUGGAACAUUUUAACCAAAGUUGCACAACGACUAAUGUUGAUCACCUUCCUUAGUAGAAAAUUAAUAGAAUUUGUCAUUUUCUGGCUCCCUUCAGUCUCAAUGAGAACAAAUGAGCUUUACUGAGUGGCUGAUUGGUGAGGUUUGGGCUCCUUUGCAAGUAGCUGUAGGGCCUAUUAUUGAAAAGUGACCAAAGAAUCCACCUUUAAUCCUAAGUAAUCAAGCUGAAGCCCCUUUAACAUUUAUAACUGGUGAGAAAAGGAAAAUGAAAUACCAGUCUCUCAAACCAGACAUAUGCAAGAGUGUUAAGGCAACAUCUUAAACUUGUUGAAGUAGACUUUUACUAAGCUACCCCAUGAGUUACUGGGCCAAAUUGACCUAUAGGAGGCGAAGGGCUUGUAAAUUUGCACUUACUUUACAGACUAUUGCUUAAUGUAUAUGGCUGUGUUAAAGUAUACCAGCGUAACUGAUUGAACAGCAAAAAAGCCUAUCUAAAAAAGAAAUAAUCAAUAUAAUAAAUAAACCACCAAAAAAAUAACCACCCAGACAGACAGAGCCCAGAGAAGAUAUUUUAAAAUUAUAAGCCAAGUAGUAGGUAUAAAAUAGUACAUAGUUUUGUAUCUUCUAACCUAAAUUAUUAUUUUUUAAAUAAAUGGGUGGGGGUGGAGUGAGAGUAGGGAAGAACCUGACAACAAGGCACCAUAACUUUGAUGAGCAGCCUAACAUGUUUGACUUGUGGCUGAGCUCUUAACCAACCAAUACCUCAGUAUGUUCCUUUAAAAAGGGGGAGGGAAUGCUGGGAGAUCAUGCACAUAAUUAGUACACUAAAGCAUAUUAAAGUCGCUAAGAAGGUCUGCAGUAAGAAACCAUUUAAGUUUGAACACAGAGCGUCCCAAAUCUAAUUCAUCUUAGGAUCCAUUUACUGGAGAAUGCCUAUUAACAUUGGGCAGAACUGGGAUGCAUUUCAGGAAAGUAUUGUCUAGAGAAGUAGUUUCCAAAUUCAUCAACUCAUUAAUGGAAUCAUUCGUUGAUUUAGCAAACAUUUUCGAAGUGCCUGUUGCCAGCCACUGUUCUAGUCACUGAGACUACAACAGUGAUGAAUGAGAGUACUCAGACCAGGGCUUAUCCAUGAUGGAGUUUCCACUGUCAAAAUGGAACAAUUAAGGACUAUCUAGAGAAAAACUUUUAUAAAAUUAGAUGUAUUUAAAGAACUGUUCUUAUUUUCUGGUUAUGCGCUUUUUUCUUCCUAUUUUUUUCCCUUGUGGUCCUAAAAUGCCUUUCCUUUUAUAAAAUAAAGGCAUUAGUAGAUAAUAGAGACCUCCCCCCACACACACACAAAUGCCUUAGUAAAAUAAAAAGUUGACUACCUCAUGUCAUUACCCAACAUUUUGUUGGAAAUUUCACCAGUUCAUGAAACCCAAAAAGCCUACAUUUGUUGAUCUGGAGAAUUCACCCAUCUGUGUACCCAAUUAUACACAGAUGUUAAAACAUCUGAAUCCUGCCUUCUAUGGUUUUCAGCUAAUUAUUUUAAUGCUCCUAAAACCAUUUUGUGGCUGUCUUCAAAAGCUAGAAGUGAAGGGGAAAGAGUCAAAGUCUGGCACAGAACAAGUCAUGUGCCUAAAAUAGAGGUGUAAAAGACUAAGAGAGCACAUUUCUAUUAAUGUGGGAAUCUUGUUAAUCUUGUUUCUGUAUCAUUUAUGCUUACAAAUGUUUCUUGACCAGGAAAGUUACUUAAAGAAUAUACUAAUAUUCUUUAGUGGAGAAAUUUUAUUUUCUUCUGUUGGAGUGCUUCACAGAGUGAAUAAAAGUGUAGAGGCUUAUGGCAUAAUGCCUCCUUUCAACCUACCAUUUCAGUGUCCAUUGAUUAUUAAGAGUUUGGUUGUUUUCUUUUUUCUUUUGUG